AGGGCCGGCACUGGCUGCUUGGAGGCCGCUUCCUCGGGUUUCCCACGCUGUCCUUUCCUAGCUGACCCUCCCAGGGAGGCUUUCCUUUCCUGUGAGGCUGGCAGAGGAGUGGCACAGAGGACUUUUCAUACAAGCUCAGAGGGGGUCUAUAAAACCAUCAUGGAGCCGGAGGAUCAACAGUGUGAUGGCAGCACACAGCCCCAGUGAGCCAGUCUUCUUGUCCCCCAGAGGCCCGUUGUGUAGGUGGCGAAGGCAAGAGAACUGCUGUGAUCUCAAGGCCAACCUGGACUACAUAAGAGGAUCCUAUUCAGUAACUAUGGGGUUGAGGAGGUGGCUCAGUGGGACAGUGCCUGCUGCAAAAGCAAGAGAUCUUCAGGUUGGAUCCCCAGCAGCCAAGUAAAAAAGCUGGGUGUGGUCACACACAUCUGUAACCACAGAGCCAGGCGGAUCCGGUUAGUUUAUAGCCAGCCGAUCUAGCCAACCAGCGAUCACCAAGUUCAGUGAGAGACCCGACUCAAAAAGAUAUAUGGAAGUCAUCAACGAAGACAUCCUGGUCUCCCUGCUCAUAUAUGCAAGCUCUCUCUCUCUCUCUCU
ensembl:lincRNA Mkln1os muskelin 1, intracellular mediator containing kelch motifs, opposite strand